rnacentral:lncRNA from 1 species
CAUGGCGACAAAGUUUUAGAGAAAGACGAUAAAAGUCUGCUUAAAAUAACUGGAUAACACUGUGUUUCUUAGUUUUUAGUUCUUCUUAACUUAUAUUAGAGAUUAAUACAACAUGAGUGAGACAACAACUACCCAAAAAUCAGCUGAUGUCAGUGAAGGAAAUGAUGAAAAACAGACAAAUACUGCUGACAUUAAAGAUGACAUAGGAAAGGAACAUGAAACUGAAGGUAAAAUUAUCUAUUUAUUUUGAACUGUACUUCUUCAAACAUGAGGAAUACCUUUAAGCUUAUAUAAGAUUGUUUGAAUUAGGAAAGUCAUACAACUUUAAGUUCAAUUUCGGAUAAGGGUGACUAUUGAGUUGAUAAAUUCUACAUUGUCAAAGCAAUUUCUGACCAAAAUAUAAGUUAAAAACACUCUUGUUUGUUAAAUUUGAAUGUGAAUAGUUG